UGAUGUUGAUAAGGGCAAUUUCAAAGCAUAAUUUUAAAUCUCUCCUAGACUUGGUAGAGAUUCUCUCCUUCUUUCUAUCAAAAAUUAAAAAUCUUGCUUCUCAAAUG
rfam:Capsicum annuum cultivar Zunla-1 chromosome 5, whole genome shotgun sequence